UAAACGAUGUCGACUUGGAGGUGUGCCCUUGAGGCGUGGCUUCCGGAGCUAACGCGUUAAGUCGACCGCCUGGGGAGUACGGCCGCAAGGUUAAAACUCAAAUGAAUUGACGGGGGCCCGCACAAGCGGUGGAGCAUGUGGUUUAAUUCGAUGCAACGCGAAGAACCUUACCUACUCUUGACAUCCACGGAACUUUCCAGAA
rnacentral:rRNA from 1 species